rnacentral:rRNA from 1 species
UACGUAGGGUGCAAGCGUUAAUCGGAAUUACUGGGCGUAAAGCGUGCGCAGGCGGCUUUGCAAGACAGAUGUGAAAUCCCCGGGCUUAACCUGGGAACUGCAUUUGUGACUGCAUGGCUGGAGUGCGGCAGAGGGGGAUGGAAUUCCGCGUGUAGCAGUGAAAUGCGUAGAUAUCUGGAGGAACACCGGUGGCGAAGGCGGCAUCCUGGACCAACACUGACGCUGAGGAGCGAAAGCCAGGGGAGCAAAGCGGG